CCUACGGGGGGCAGCAGUGAGGAAUAUUGGUCAAUGGGCGCGAGCCUGAACCAGCCAAGUAGCGUGAAGGAUGACUGCCCUAUGGAUUGUAAACUUCUUUUAUAGGGGAAUAAAGUGUUCCACGUGUGCGCUUUUGUAUGUACCAUAUGAAUAAGGAUCGGCUAACUCCGUGCCAGCAGCCGCGGUAAUACGGAGGAUCCGAGCGUUAUCCGGAUUUAUUGGGUUUAAAGGGAGCGUAGGUGGAUUGUUAAGUCAGUUGUGAAAAUUUGCGGCUAAACCGUAAAAUUGCCAUUGAAACUGGCAGUCUUGAGUACAGAAGAGGUAUGCGGAAUGCGUGGUGUAGCGGUGAAAUGCUUAGAUAUCACGAAGAACUCCGAUUGCGAAGGCAGCUUACCGGACUGCCACUGACACUGAGGCUCGAAAGCGUGGGUAUCGAACAGGAUUAGAUACCCGUGUAGUC
rnacentral:rRNA from 1 species